rnacentral:rRNA from 1 species
AUUGAACGCUGGCGGCAGGCCUAACACAUGCAAGUCGAGCGGAGCGUCGGACGGGUGAGUAAUGCCUAGGAAUUUGCCUGGUCGUGGGGGAUAACGUCCGGAAACGUGCGCUUAUACCGCAUACUCUCAGAUGACCCUAGGUCGUAUUGGCUAGUUGGGGGGGUAAAGGCCUACCAGGGCGAAGAUCCGUAACUGGUCUGAGCGGACGAUCAGUCAGACUGGAACUGGGACACGGUCCAGAGUCCUACGGGAGGCAGCAGUGGGGAAUAUUGGGCAAGGGGCGAGAGCCUGAGCCAGCCAUGCCGCGUGUGUGAAGAAGGCCUUAGGGUUGUAAAGUCCUGUCGGCGGGGAGGCGUUACCCACAGAGGAAGCACCGGCUAACUCCGGGCCAGCAGCCGCGGUAAUAC